UACGGAGGGUGCGAGCGUUGUCCGGAAUCACUGGGCGUAAAGGGCGCGUAGGCGGUUGGGGAAGUCCGUGGGGAAAGCUCGUGGCUCAACUACGAGUCGGCCAUGGAUACUCCUUGACUUGAGCACUGUAGAGGCAGAUGGAAUUCCGGGUGUAGCGGUGGAAUGCGUAGAGAUCCGGAGGAACACCAAUGGCGAAGGCAGCUCGCUGGGACGGUACUGACGCUGAGACGCGAAAGCGUGGGGAGCAAACAGG
rnacentral:rRNA from 1 species